rnacentral:rRNA from 1 species
CCUGGUUGAUCCUGCUAGUAGUGUUAUGCUUGUUUCAAAGAUUAAGCCAUACAUGUGUAAGUAUGAACUAAUUUAGACUUUGAAACUACAAAUGACCCAUUAAAUUAGUUAUAGUUUGUUUGAUGAUAUCUAAUACUCAGAUAACCAUAGUAAUUCUAAAGCUAAUACAUGCAACAAACCUUAACUUCUAGAGUGGAUGCAUUUAUUAGAUAAAAGGUUAACCAGGUUUUGCCCAUUCCUUUGAUGAUUCAUGAUAAGUCAACGGAUCAUACAACCUUUUGUACUGGUGAUGCAUUAUUCAAAUUUCUGCCCUAUCAACUUUUGAUGGUAGAAUAGUGGCCUACAAAGGUGGUGAUGGUUGAUAGAGUAUUAGGGUUUGAUUCUAGAGAGGGAGCCUGAGAAAUGGCUACCACAUCUAAGGAAGGUAGCAAGCGUGGAAAUUAUCCAAUACUAAUAAGGGGAGUUAGUGACAAUAAAUAACAAUACUAAGCUCUAUGAGUCUAGUAAUUGGAAUGAGUACAAUCUAAAUCCCUAGCAAUUGUGAUAAUUCUACCUUCAAUAGUAUAUAUUUAAGUUGUUAUAGUUAAAAAGCUUAUAGUUGAAACUAGGGUUGGGUCAUUUGGUCUGCCUCAUAGUAAACACUGGUAUACUCAUCCUUACUGCUGAUGAUGCAUUCCUAGCCUUAACUAGUUGGGUUAUUCCUUUGGUGCUAUUUCUUUGAAGAAAUUAGAGUGCUCAAAACAGGCUUAUGCUUGUAUACAUUAGCAUGCGAUAACAUCAUAAGAUUUCGAUCCUAUUGUGUUGGCCUUCGAGAUCAGAGUAAUGAUUAACAAAAACAGUCUAGGGCAUUCAUAUUUCUUAGUCAGAGGUGAAAUUCUUGGAUUUAUGAAUAGUGAAAAACUAUGAAAGCAUUUGCCAAUGAUGUUUUCAUUAAUUAAGAACAAAAGUUGGGUGCUAAAAAACGUAUAGAUACCAUCCUAGUAUCAACCAUAAAUGAUGCCAACCAAGGAUCGACAUAUGUUACUUUUAAGAUUUCAUCGGCAUCUUAUGAGAAAUCAUAGUCUUUGGUUUUAAGGGGGAGUAUGGUCGCAAGGUUAAAACUUAAAGAAAUUGAUGGAAGAGCACCACUAAGAGUAGAGCUUGCAACUUAAUUUGACUCAACAUGAGCAAACAUACUAGGUCCAAACAAAGUAAGGAUUGAUAGAUUGAGAGCUCUUUCUUGAUUCUAUGGGUGGUGGUGCAUGGCUAUUCUUAGUUGGUUGAGCAAUUUGUCUAGUUAAUUCCAUUAAUGAAUAAGACCUCAGCUUGCUAACUAGCUAUGCAGGGAUGAUUCUUCAUGGCUAGCUUUUUAGAGGGACUAUGGCUAUUUAGGCCAAGGAAGUUAGAGGCGACAAUAGGUUUGUGAUGCCCUUAGAUGUUCUGGCUGCACAUGUGCUACACUGAUGUAUUCAAUAAGUCUAUAGCCUUGGCUGACAGACGGGGGUAAUUUUUGAAAUUUCAUCAUUAUGAGGAUAGAUCAUUGCAAUUGUUGGUCUUCAACAAUGAAUUCCUAGUAAGUGCGAGUCAUCAGCUCAUGUUGACCAUAUCCUUGCCUUUGGUACACACCUCCCAUUACUCUUACCGAUUGAAUGGUCCAAUGAAGUGUUCAGAUCAUGAUGAUGUGGAUUGUUCGUAGCCUAUGAUGUCAUGAGAAGUCCACUAAACCUUAUCAUUUAGAGGAAAGAGAACUCAUAAUAAGGUUUCUAUAGGUGAACCUACGAAAA